rnacentral:lncRNA from 1 species
UUUUUUUUCAAAUGCCAAACCAACCAAACCAAAUCAUAAGUCGGCUCUUUUUCUCGGUUUGAUUUGACUUGACGGUUUGGUCUGCACACCCCUAGUCACGGCUAGGCCUAGUUGGUCACGGCUGACACCCCUCUUAGGUCCAGGUCACCACUCCUAGCAUACAGGUCACCACUUCGAGUCACGGCCUAACUUGUGGGACUCUCAAUGAAAGCACCAAUAUUAUAAACCAAACGGGAGAGUUCAACCCAAAAGACUAGCAUGAUAAAUGGGAGAACCCAUUUGGCCUAUAAAUCUCUUAGCA